GCGCCACUAGCUCAAUUGGAUAGAGCAUCGGUUUACGGAACCGAAGGUUGCAGGUUCGAGUCCUGCGUGGCGUA
rnacentral:tRNA from 1 species